rnacentral:rRNA from 1 species
UCAGAAGUGCGAAUGCUGACAUAAGUAACGAUAAAGCGGGUGAAAAGCCCGCUCGCCGGAAGACCAAGGGUUCCUGUCCAACGUUAAUCGGGGCAGGGUGAGUCGACCCCUAAGGCGAGGCCGAAAGGCGUAGUCGAUGGGAAACGGGUUAAUAUUCCCGUACUUGGUGUUACUGCGAAGGGGGGACGGAGAAGGCUAUGUUGGCCGGGCGACGGUUGUCCCGGUUUAAGCGUGUAGGUGUGUGUUCCAGGUAAAUCCGGUUCACUUUAACACUGAGGCGUGAUGACGAGGCACCACGGUGCUGAAGCAACAAAUGCCCUGCUUCCAGGAAAAGCCUCUAAGCAUCAGGUAACAUCAAAUCGUACCCCAAACCGACACAGGUGGUCAGGUAGAGAAUACCAAGGCGCUUGAGAGAACUCGGGUGAAGGAACUAGGCAAAAUGGUGCCGUAACUUCGGGAGAAGGCACGCUGACACGUAGGUGAAGUGAUUUACUCAUGGAGCUGAAGUCAGUCGAAGAUACCAGCUGGCUGCAACUGUUUAUUAAAAACACAGCACUGUGCAAACACGAAAGUGGACGUAUACGGUGUGACGCCUGCCCGGUGCCGGAAGGUUAAUUGAUGGGGUCAGCGCAAGCGAAGCUCCUGAUCGAAGCCCCGGUAAACGGCGGCCGUAACUAUAACGGUCCUAAGGUAGCGAAAUUCCUUGUCGGGUAAGUUCCGACCUGCACGAAUGGCGUAAUGAUGGCCAGGCUGUCUCCACCCGAGACUCAGUGAAAUUGAACUCGCUGUGAAGAUGCAGUGUACCCGCGGCAAGACGGAAAGACCCCGUGAACCUUUACUAUAGCUUGACACUGAACAUUGAGCCUUGAUGUGUAGGAUAGGUGGGAGGCUUUGAAGCGUGGACGCCAGUCUGCGUGGAGCCGACCUUGAAAUACCACCCUUUAAUGUUUGAUGUUCUAACGUGGACCCGUAAUCCGGGUUGCGGACAGUGUCUGGUGGGUAGUUUGACUGGGGCGGUCUCCUCCUAAAGAGUAACGGAGGAGCACGAAGGUUGGCUAAUCCUGGUCGGACAUCAGGAGGUUAGUGCAAUGGCAUAAGCCAGCUUGACUGCGAGCGUGACGGCGCGAGCAGGUGCGAAAGCAGGUCAUAGUGAUCCGGUGGUUCUGAAUGGAAGGGCCAUCGCUCAACGGAUAAAAGGUACUCCGGGGAUAACAGGCUGAUACCGCCCAAGAGUUCAUAUCGACGGCGGUGUUUGGCACCUCGAUGUCGGCUCAUCACAUCCUGGGGCUGAAGUAGGUCCCAAGGGUAUGGCUGUUCGCCAUUUAAAGUGGUACGCGAGCUGGGUUUAGAACGUCGUGAGACAGUUCGGUCCCUAUCUGCCGUGGGCGCUGGAAGACUGAGGGGGGCUGCUCCUAGUACGAGAGGACCGGAGUGGACGCAUCACUGGUGUUCGGGUUGUCAUGCCAAUGGCACUGCCCGGUAGCUAAAUGCGGAAAAGAUAAGUGCUGAAAGCAUCUAAGCACGAAACUUGCCCCGAGAUGAGUCUUCCCUGAGACCUUGAGUCUCCUGAAGGAACGUUAAAGACGAUGACGUUGAUAGGCCGGGUGUGUAAGCG